AGAGAGAACUGCAGCUCUUCGUCUUUGAAGGCUUCCAAAAGGGCUAAUGUUUUAGCGGAGCCUUGACAGACUAGUAAAAGUUGGCUAGAUAAAAGAGUGUUUCGAUCUCAAGGGGAAAGAGACUGUAUCCCCAACACCAGUAAAGUGCCACAUCACUGCGCUUUUACUGGAUGGGUGGAUGAAUAAACAACGCACGUGAGGAAGGCAGACCGUGAGUUCAGAGAGCUUGAGUUUGUCUGAGUGUGAGGUGGUGACACAUGUAGUGAAGUUGAGGCGGGAGCGGUAGGUCUGGAGCCAGAUCGGGAAGGGUUUUGUGUGCUAAGCCGAGGAAUUUCAACUUGAUCUCGUUGGCAGCAGCAUGCCCUCGAAAACUUUAAAGCAGGAAGGUGAUAGGAUCGGAACCGUCUUCUUAAAAGAUUAACCUGCAAAAGGCCAGGCUGGGGGAGAAAUGAGAGUAAGGGAAACCAUAUCAGGAGGCUGUCGGGACAGAGAAGAUUCAAUCACCCGGAGAGUUGUUCAAUCUCAGCUCCAAAAUUCCAAGGGAAAGAACUAUGGAAUUAGCCCAGCACACCAGAAGCAUCCAACCCAGUAACUCGUGGCUCGGUGCAGUCAAGCUCAUCCCCGAUCACCUGGCCCCUGGAGCAUCCCCCCCACCCCCCAAGCAAAGACCU